GCUGACGAGCGGCGGACGGGUGAGUAAUGCAUAGGAAACUGCCCAGUAGUGGGGGAUAGCCCGGGGAAACCCGGAUUAAUACCGCGUACGCCCUUCGGGGGAAAGCAGGGGAUCUUCGGACCUUGCGCUAUUGGAUGUGCCUAUGUCGGAUUAGCUAGUUGGUGGGGUAAAGGCCUACCAAGGCGACGAUCCGUAGCUGGUCUGAGAGGAUGAUCAGCCACAUCGGGACUGAGACACGGCCCGAACUCCUACGGGAGGCAGCAGUGGGGAAUAUUGGACAAUGGGGGCAACCCUGAUCCAGCCAUGCCGCGUGUGUGAAGAAGGCUUUCGGGUUGUAAAGCACUUUCAGUGAGGAGGAAAACCUUAUGGCUAAUACCCAUGAGGCUUGACGUUACUCACAGAAGAAGCACCGGCUAACUCCGUGCCAGCAGCCGCGGUAAUACGGAGGGUGCAAGCGUUAAUCGGAAUUACUGGGCGUAAAGCGCGCGUAGGUGGUUUGAUAAGCGAGAUGUGAAAGCCCCGGGCUUAACCUGGGAACGGCAUUUCG
rnacentral:rRNA from 1 species